rnacentral:misc_RNA from 1 species
GAUGAAGAACGUAGCGAAAUGCGAUACUUGGUGUGAAUUGCAGAAUCCCGUGAACCAUCGAGUCUUUGAACGCAAGUUGCGCCCGAAGCCAUCAGGUUGAGGGCACGUCUGCCUGGGCGUCACAUAUCGUUGCCCAAUGCCUAUUGCAGUGCAAUAGGAAUUUCUAGGGCGAAUGAUGGCUUCCCGUGAGCGUUGUUGCCUCGCGGUUGGUUGAAAAUCGAGUCCUUGGUAGGGUAUGCCAUGGUAGAUGGUGGUCGAGUUAGAACGAUACCGAUCAUGUGCAUGCUCCCCAAAAUAUGGCCUCUAUGACCCACACGCGUCUUUUGACGCUCAUGACGAGACCUCAGGUCAGGCGGGGCUACCAGCUGAAUUUAAGCAUAUCAAUAAGCGGAGGA